rnacentral:rRNA from 1 species
GACGAACGCUGGCGGCGUGCUUAACACAUGCAAGUCGAACGGAAAGGCCCCUUUUGGGGUACUCGAGUGGCGCACGGGUGAGUAACACGUCUGUAACCUGCCCUUGUCUUCGGGAUAACUUCAGGAAACUGGGGCUAAUACCGGAUAGGAAUCCGUGCUGCAUGGUGGGGGUUGGAAAGCUUCGGCGGUUUUGGAUGGACUCGCGGCGUAUCAGCUUGUUGGUGGGGUAGUGGCUUACCAAGGCUUUGACGGGUAGCCGGCCUGAGAGGGCGACCGGCCACCCUGGGACCGAGAUGCGGCCGCGGCUCCUACGGGAGGAAGAAGGGGGGAAGAGUGAACAAUGGGCGGAGGCCGGGUGAAGAAACGCCGCGGACGGGAUGACGGCCUUAGGGUUGUAAAACGCUUUCAGCAGGGGAGAAGCUUGUGGUGACGGUACCUGCAGAAGAAGCACCGGCUAACUACGUG